rnacentral:rRNA from 1 species
AUGCCAUCGCAGCAUCAUCGCGGUUGCCGAAGUACAGCUAGGGCGUUAGGAGUGUGUCGUCGCACCAUCGCCUCGGCGUCAGAGCACCGCACGAGUGUUAGAAUCGUGUCGUGGUGCCAUCAUUGCAGCCGUGAAAGCACACUUGAAAGCAUCAACGCGGCCGUCGAAGCAUGCCAUCGCAUUCGUCGAAACUCUGGAUGGGUGUUUGUAGCAUGUCAUUGUGCCAACGCCACAAAUAGAAAUAAUGAAAAUAUCCCUAACAAAAGAAAGUGCCUCUACCACAACACAAAUAAUCAUAAGUUUAUGUAUCUGUGCUUCGUGCUUCUGCCUGUCCGUCCUGACCCUAAUAAAAGAAAGUGUUUCUACCACAACACAAAUGACCAUAAUAUACUUCACUACCACAACGUUUUAUUCAAUAAUGAUAAACGGAUUCGUGGUUCUUCCUGUUCGUCCCGACUUUGCCCCUGA